UUUUCCAUUGUGGAGGGAACAGGAGCUCACGGGUGGAUUCCAGCCACACCUCGGGAGGGCAGCUGGCAAGUGCUUGACUUUAAAUACGUGCUUAAAACCUGCCAAUGGGCUGGUGAAGGUCAUGUGAACCCCAGGGAACACUGCGCUCCCAUUUUCACUCCUGGAGGGCACCACAUCCACAUUUCACUUUGGGGUCCACACCCAUUCCUGCAAGCCUGUCGGACUGCAGGACUACUCUGUAUGAGAGCAGUCGCAGGAGGCUUUGAAGGAGUUUGGGAUCUACAACAGUGACAGAGUAGAUGGUACAUAGAGCUCGAGGAAAAGUUGAAUAACUCCAGGAUUGCAAUUCAAAGGAUGUGAAUUACAUAUUAAACAUGUCCCACAGAAAAGGUUCUGAAAGAAAAAGGCCGUGCUGGAAUUCCCUUUCUUUUGCAGCCUAUAAACUGCACAGCCA
rnacentral:lncRNA from 12 species